rnacentral:rRNA from 1 species
AUUGAACGCUGGCGGCAUGCCUUACACAUGCAAGUCGAACGGCAGCACGGACUUCGGUCUGGUGGCGAGUGGCGAACGGGUGAGUAAUAUAUCGGAACAUACCCUAGAGUGGGGGAUAACGUAGCGAAAGUUACGCUAAUACCGCAUACGAUCUAAGGAUGAAAGCGGGGGAUCGCAAGACCUCGUGCUCAUGGAGUGGCCGAUAUCUGAUUAGCUAGUUGGUGAGGUAAAGGCUCACCAAGGCGACGAUCAGUAGCUGGUUUGAGAGAACGACCAGCCACACUGGAACUGAGACACGGUCCAGACUCCUACGGGAGGCAGCAGUGGGGAAUUUUGGACAAUGGGCGCAAGCCUGAUUCAGCAAUGCCGCGUGAGUGAAGAAGGCCUUCGGGUUGUAAAGCUCUUUUGUCAGGGAAGAAACGGUUGUGGCUAAUAUCCAUGGCUAAUGACGGUACCUGAAGAAUAAGCACCGGCUAACUACGUGCCAGCAGCCGCGGUAAUAC